GCCGCUUCGGUGGUGGAUUAGUGGCGAACGGGUGAGUAACACGUGGGCAAUCUGCCCUUCACUCUGGGACAAGCCCUGGAAACGGGGUCUAAUACCGGAUAAUACUCCUGCCUGCAUGGGUGGGGGUUGAAAGCUCCGGCGGUGAAGGAUGAGCCCGCGGCCUAUCAGCUUGUUGGUGGGGUAAUGGCCUACCAAGGCGACGACGGGUAGCCGGCCUGAGAGGGCGACCGGCCACACUGGGACUGAGACACGGCCCAGACUCCUACGGGAGGCAGCAGUGGGGAAUAUUGCACAAUGGGCGAAAGCCUGAUGCAGCGACGCCGCGUGAGGGAUGACGGCCUUCGGGUUGUAAACCUCUUUCAGCAGGGAAGAAGCGCAAGUGACGGUACCUGCAGAAGAAGCGCCGGCUAACUACGUGCCAGCAGCCGCGGUAAUACGUAGGGCGCAAGCGUUGUCCGGAAUUAUUGGGCGUAAAGAGCUCGUAGGCGGCUUGUCACGUCGGAUGUGAAAGCCCGGGGCUUAACCCCGGGUCUGCAUUCGAUACGGGCUAGCUAGAGUGUGGUAGGGGAGAUCGGAAUUCCUGGUGUAGCGGUGAAAUGCGCAGAUAUCAGGAGGAACACCGGUGGCGAAGGCGGAUCUCUGGGCCAUUACUGACGCUGAGGAGCGAAAGCGUGGGGAGCGAACAGGAUUAGAUACCCUGGUAGUCCACGCCGUAAACGUUGGGAACUAGGUGUUGGCGACAUUCCACGUCGUCGGUGCCGCAGCU
rnacentral:rRNA from 1 species